rnacentral:sRNA from 1 species
CCACCUGCGACUUGUGAAAAAAUCACGGAAUGGUUUUUUCUUCUUAAAGACGAUGAUCGUGAUCUUGCUAUCAUCAAGUUAUAUACACUCUCCUCUCACAUCCUCCAUCUGUCAACUUUCCACUGUAGUCUCGAGUCUACAUAAAUAUGAGUCUACAUAAAUAUGCUAGUAUCAUUGCUUUCAUGUUUGAACUUUCAGUGAUGUCACUGGAAACUUUCCCCUUACUUUCCUAGGCUUACUGUGUAAGGGGAAAAAAAGAAAAAUUGCACAAAAUCCGUCCGCCAAGUAUUGAUCGACCGCUAACUAGGACCCUUGGCACAUCAGUUUGAUCCUCGCGCCCACUAUCGGCCCAUCUCUAGAGAGUUGAUACCAGGCUCUUAUUAUGUGCGGUUUCGUGAAUGAAAUCGUAACGCAACAUAUAGAAAUGUCCCGAGGACCAAUAAUAAAUCGAAAAUAAGCGUUAUUUUCAGUUUUUCUUGGUGACACAAAUGAACAAUUUUAUCAUUCAAUCACCGAUCAGCCAAAAUUGCUAGGAAUAAAUAACAAAUCAAUUACAGAUCAAGUGGUGACCAUUUCGUGAAUAUAUAUAUAUAUGUCAAUAAUAAGCACGGAUUUUAUUAGCUUCGAACAUCCAUUUCCAGGCUAACAUUGUUAUUGGGGGUCAAAGCAGUUCAUCCUGCGCUAGAUACGCUGGAAAUGGCUUAAUCGUACAAGCAAGAAUCGGCGACUUGCUAUUCUUCAUUAUAUGGGCCAUGGUUAAAAUCAUACAGCCGUCUUGAUGGAGUACUUUAACUGGGGUGUGGAAGAUAGUCACAUAACCAUGUAUAAAUUCGGG